UGCCCAGUAGCCAAGCGGUAAGGCAUCGGACUCUGGAUCCGACAUUUCAUAGGUUCGAAUCCUAUCUGGGCAACCA
rnacentral:tRNA from 1 species